rnacentral:rRNA from 1 species
GUAGGGGGCAAGCGUUGUCCGGAUUUAUUGGGCGUAAAGAGCGUGUAGGCGGUUAUACAGGUCCGCUGUGAAAACUGGAGGCUUAACCUCCAGACGUCGGUGGAAACCGUAUAACUAGAGUCCGGAAGAGGAGAGUGGAAUUCCUGGUGUAGCGGUGAAAUGCGCAGAUAUCAGGAAGAACACCCGUGGCGAAGGCGGCUCUCUGGGACGGUACUGACGCUGAGACGCGAAAGCGUGGGGAGCGAACAGGAUUAGAUACCCUGGUAGUCCACGCCGUAAACGAUGGGUGCUAGGUGUGGGGGGUGUCGACUCCCUCCGUGCCGCAGCUAACGCAUUAAGCACCCCGCCUGGGGAGUACGGCCGCAAGGCUA